rnacentral:rRNA from 1 species
GACGAACGCUGGCGGCGUGCUUAACACAUGCAAGUCGAACGGAAAGGCCCUGCUUUUGUGGGGUGCUCGAGUGGCGAACGGGUGAGUAACACGUGAGUAACCUGCCCUUGACUUUGGGAUAACUUCAGGAAACUGGGGCUAAUACCGGAUAGGAGCUCCUGCUGCAUGGUGGGGGUUGGAAAGUUUCGGCGGUUGGGGAUGGACUCGCGGCUUAUCAGCUUGUUGGUGGGGUAGUGGCUUACCAAGGCUUUGACGGGUAGCCGGCCUGAGAGGGUGACCGGCCACAUUGGGACUGAGAUACGGCCCAGACUCCUACGGGAGGCAGCAGUGGGGAAUUUUGCACAAUGGGCGGAAGCCUGAUGCAGCAACGCCGCGUGCGGGAUGACGGCCUUCGGGUUGUGAACCGCUUUCGCCUGUGACGAAGCGUGAGUGACGGUAAUGGGUAAAGAAGCACCGGCUAACUACGUG